rnacentral:rRNA from 1 species
GAUGAACGCUAGCGGCAGGCUUAACACAUGCAAGUCGAGGGGCAGCAUAAAACGUUGCUUGCAACGUUUGGUGGCGACCGGCGCACGGGUGCGUAACGCGUAUGCAACCUACCUGUAACAGGGGGAUAACACUGAGAAAUUGGUACUAAUACCCCGUAACAUCAAUGAAGGCAUCUUUAUUGGUUGAAAGUUCCGGCGGUUACAGAUGGGCGUGCGUUGUAUUAGCUAGUUGGAGAGGUAACGGCUCACCAAGGCGACGAUACAGUAGGGGGACUGAGAGGUUAACCCCCCACAUUGGUACUGAGACACGGACCAA